rnacentral:lncRNA from 1 species
GUCACUGUUUUCUUCUCCUUUCUGACAUUCAGCCACUGGUUUAUCAGUUUGCUGCCAUGGCACAAGAAAGCGAGGGGAGUCAUCUUUCAGCCCUCCUCUGGUUCAAUAUUAUAAGACUUUGGCCGCUUCCACAGAUACCCAUCCUUAUGUAAGUAUAACUUGGAAAACUGCAUGGCAUAGAGAUUAAAUGAAAUCACAUUCUGUUUUAGAAAUAGAAAAUUGAGGCUUAGUGCUCCAUCAUCUUUUAGACUAUCCACUGUGGGGGUGUCUGCAAGAUAGCAUCUGACAAUUAAUUUAGCCGCCUAUAGAAAAUGAACUGAUGACUUUCAAAUGGUUUACAAUGAGCAGGAACAGUAAUGUAAAGUUAUCAUACUUUUGACAGUCUAAGACAUGAGGUUAAGUACAGAAUGAGCGAGACGAUUCAUCUACCUUUUCUGCCCUGCAAGUAGUUUCUCCUCAAAUAUGGGUGAGCUUUAAGUAGGUUGCACUUUGCUACUUGUAGUUCUUGUAUCUGCAAGUUUGAUGUAUUUCGGUAAUAAUAAAUAUAAUGUUAUUCUCUACUUCCUCAAGUGAGCAACAUAAAAUGAGUUUUAGGUGCUUUAACUUGUGUUAUGUCCUUUUUAAUAUUAUAUCUGUCUGAUAAAUGUGUAGGAAUUGAUGUAGCAUACCAUUUGCCAUUCCAAUAUCCAUGACAUAGUGCUUAAACCACUUAGGUUUGUAUCAUGUAUCAUAUUUGUUCCCUUCAGCUACGUAUUUAAAUGCUUAUUGGCUAAAUCAUUUCCUUCUUUUCAUAAAAUGUUUCUUCUAUGUUAACUCCAAAAGAUUUCCAGUAGAACAGUUUUUCACAGGACUUAAAAAAAAAAUUGAGAACACUUUCCAGAGGUGGUCAUGAGCAAAUGUAGGGUGUGGAAACUGAAGCAGCCUCUGUGGUUAUCAUCCUCAGAAGAUGGAAAAUCUGCUUGAGAACUCUGGGAAGUCCAGCAGUUUCAUAACACUUUGUACUUCACUUGCUGACCAGAACUGGCUUCUCCCUCCUACAGACAGCCUUUCCCUUGCUGUAAAAUCUUUGUUUAAUGGCUGCAUUCAUUAUGCCGCUACAAAGACAGCUCCAUCUAAACGGUUAACUGGACAUCAAAUUCUGGCACAAAUUUUAAAGUUUCUUGGUCUUCCCACUGUACUCUUUCAAAAUGAAGAAGGUGUAAAGAAGAGUAACUGCGAUUCGUAUGGCUCAGAAAUGCUAAAUAUAGCAAUAAGUUGUUUAUCCUGA